rnacentral:tRNA from 1 species
ACCAGUAUGGUGCAGUGGUUUCAGUGUUGGACUAUGAUUCUGGAGACCAGGGUUCAAAUCCCUGCUCAGCUG